rnacentral:lncRNA from 1 species
AUUAAAAGAAAUUGGGCCAAAGUUGCGCGAAUGCAUACUCCAGUUUUGUUUUUAGAAUCGCCAUCAUGUCACGCGAACAUGUCCACAACCGCGAUAGUAUAUUAAAUGGCCCAAAGGUUUUUCUACGAAUAUCCUCAUUAAUAACUAAUUAAAGUGUUUGUGAGGGCCGUAGAAAUUUUUUAAACAACGCACCUCGAUCUCUAAGAAUUUUAAAAGAUUAAUUAAAUGCGGGCCACACAUUUGAGAUUUUAUCUGGCGCGACGCACCUCAUUACCGAUUUAAAAAGAGGAACUCAAACUAAAUUUCGAAGGGCUACAAACUAUUUGUGUUAUCUAAUAUGGCUCACCUCCAUUAUUUGAAAGAACAUAGUUAUCUAAAUAUUAAAGGAGUUGGGUUUCUACUUAUUGUAUACUACUGUUAAGUUUAAAAAAACUUAUGAGCAACCCACGUCUGAUUGUGAAGGACUUUGAGCUGGUCGCAAGCCAAGGACUAACCAUCCUUUACUAUAAGUCAACAUAAAGACCAAACAAGCCCACAAUGAAGCCCAGCACGGAGACCAAGUCGCUGAAAGUGAAAACCAAUACAAUUGAGCCAAAAGCUGGUAGCCCAAUAUACCCACUUAAAAAUUAAUUCCAUGAGUCAGCAUUGAAUGUAAAAUUAACUUAACAUCUUUUGUCGCAUGGCAAUCUAAGAGAACAUCACUACCCUAAGGAAGAUCAAAAUUCAACUGAGAAAUGAUUUGAGAAACUUAUUAACAUAUAACCAAGGCCCAGCAUGCUUUUCUAUGCGAACAAACGAGUAUGUGCUACCUGAAAUUUACUUUUGGUUCAUUUUGUAAUUUCACAUGGAUCACUACUGAUCUCAAACCCACGUAUGAAUAAAUAUCCACCAACCAAAUAAAGCCAAAAUCAGACCCAAAAUGCAGGACUAAUAUUUCCAAAUGUGACAAUCAUCAAAACAUUUCUUGUCUUUACUUAUGUUAUCCAACACAACAGUAGGCUUCAUUUACACUUGAAAAUCAACACAAUGGUAUCAUACAGCCUAUAGAUUAGUCCCUGAUGAUAUCCAUAUUUCAAUAAUGACAAAAGUUCAGCUAUUGCAACUAAUAUUCAGCAUAUAUUUUUAACAACUAAACCUGAAAGUGCAUACCAGAUCUCCAUCUGCAGCUUAUACUAACAAUAUUAAAAUUCCUAUGACUUCAGUAAUCAAAGAAUCCAUUCAAACUAAGUAGGCUACCAUUAACUCGAAUCAACAGAACCCACAUCUUAUGCAUAUUAGAUACAUAGGAACUUAAGCAAACUUAAUAUUCAGUAUAACAAACUAAGAUUUACAGAGAGAAGGAAUUCAAAUAACAAGCUAAUCAUAUGAACAGCACACAAGACUAAAAUGUCAACUCCAAACUUCUAUUUUUCAUAUUACUUUCAACUUGAAGAUCACUUAUACAGGUUUCAGAAUAUGUACCUGGAAAUUGCACAAAAAGGAAAAGAAGUGACGGACUAGCAAUAAAAUAGUAGCCAGCAAACCAGCAACACCAGUUCCAACGAUUAAAAACCUAGGAAAUCAACUCAGCAAAACCAGUGAAAGAUUAACCCCCAAUCAAAAAACAUUAAUAACCAAAUAUCAAUCCAUUUGAAUAUCAGAAUAGGUACUAUUGUUUUUCAGAAGUAAAGAAAAUCACUGAAAUUCAAUCGAGGAGUAGAACUUUUGGCCUUUUUGUAUUUUUCUGGAAUUCUAUCUCUAAUUUUCUCUGCCUUGAAAGGCAAGAAUAAGGUGCCUUUAUAGGAAAGCAAAUAGAGCAUACCUAAGAGUUCAAUUUUCACUUGUCCCUUUCUAAUUCUUAUUUUGGCUUAGGUGUCCCUGUUUGAUUUUCUAUCAUUCAAAAUAACUCAUUCCCCAACUUCCUAGAAGUUUCCUAGUUAAGAAAGAUUCAUUCUAUCAAAUCUCCCUAAACUACCCUUCAAGAAGUUGAUAUUUACCUUCACAGAAACUCAGUUUAUGGGUCAAAUUAAACUAAGACCCCACCCAACCCAUGGGCUUGCAUACUACAACCCAAACUGAAUUUCCAAACCUUGAACUUAACCGAAACUUUUAAAGAAACAAACUUCCGAAUAUUUUAAACAGAAAAAGAUUUCAAUAGAGAUGCUUGGGAAACAGUAAUUCAAAGCAAUUAAAUCAUCCAUUUAAUCAAAUUAUACUAAGAUACUAAUAUGCUAAUUCCCAUUUUAUUAAACACCAAACUAAACCUGAAUGGAAAAGGGAGAAGACUCAAAAUCCUAAUGACCUAAGGUAGUUCAACUUAUUACUGUUAACAAACUUAAAGUUAGCAGCCUAAAUCAUGAAAUUAAAUAAGAAAUAACACUCGUGAAGAAAGAAACCAAAAAAAAUGAAGCGAAGAUCAGAGAGAAACAAAACAAUCACAAAGAAAAAAAGAAUUACCCCCAUACCUACAUUGGAUAGACCCUUGUAUGAACUUGAACCUUUGACCAACCAAGAAAGUAACAAAGGGAAGAACCUAGGGCUUUUUCAGACCCCUGCUUCAACGUUGAAAGUCCUGGGCUGCUUUGAAAAGAAACGAAAGCUCAGUUCAGGUAGAAAAGGGUGAGGGAUUGCAUGGUGCAAGUUUUGGGUAGAAUUAGGACUUUUAGGGUGUUGGUUCUAGAUCUAAAAUUCGAGGAGCUUAGUGAUAGUUUUAAAUAAACGAGCUGGGGAUUCGGGACGAGGAGAUGGAGGGGAUUAUGCGAUGUGAAUUUAGGCUUGAUUGGCUGUCGGCCGCCACCAUGGGAAAUUUCCGGCAGGCAGCGGUCGAAGGGCGGAGAUCGGCAGACCUUCAGGGUGUGAUAGGGAUGAGAGAUGGGGAGUGGGGUGUCGUUAAGACAUAUAUACAUCUCCUUAGUUUAGAACCGUUAAUGUGAUGAGAUCUAAC